rnacentral:lncRNA from 1 species
GACUGAGCCAGAUUCAAACCUACACCUGAAUGCACGGUUCAGGUGUUGUGAUGCACCAGUGCUCCCUGCUGCACCACUGUGCUGCCACAUAAUGUGUCUGCAAUUAUAGUGUGUGAGUGACAGAGAGUGUGUGCUCCACUGAUGUAAGGAAGAAUGCCCCAGUGUAAGUAGUGUAUCUAGCAGUGUAAGUCCCCUUGGUGAAUAAGGUGUGUGGGCUGAUAACACUAUGUAGUGUUCACUGGAAGUCGCUUUGGAGAAAAGCAUCUGCUAAAUGAAUAAAUGUAAAUGUACUAGAGUGCAGAGGCCGCAGCGAGAGCGCAACAUUCUUGUGAAAAUGUAAUAGUGUCUGGUUGCCAAUAGGAGGGGCUAUAGGAUAACUCUCUCCACCUCACCAUCAGCUGGACAAGCGGUGCCUACUGGGGAUGAUCUUCUGGUACAGGCUGGAGAGCUGUGAGAAGCGGAAGGGGCAGAACUCCUGGGGAGGCCUCCGUGGGAAUAAAGGCUCCCUCCCUCCCAUCUCGAGGAGUCCCGUUUUCCAAGAGCAAAUUCCAGUGCAGAUUAGCGAGGCAAUUUCCUUCAACUCAAACCACCUGAGACCGCAGUCUGACCAUGCAACAGGUCAGCUUGUACGUCACCGACCGUGGAUCAACCUCAGUUUGCGGAAAACCUUGCGCACGCUGUAUUCGAUAAACUUGCACAUAGAGCAAUGGUGGCAUCCACCCAGAUUUGAGUGGUUUGUUAAAUGGUUAUUUAAAUAAAAUCGUGUGGCGGGCUGUCAGUUGUGAGCGGGAUUUGUUUGACAGCUCGAGGCAAAAGGGAGAGGAACUUGUUAGCUACAGGAGAUGUUCAAAUUUGUGGAAAGGGUUGUUUGUUGUGUAUGUAAAUGUAAAUAUUACUGUUACGGCAGAGGUCCUUCGCAUGGACAGAUUUCAGUAAGAGUUUAACUCCUGUCAAGCAAACUUGAAAGGGUGCAGUGCAUUUGGAAGAUUUAUUGCUACAGCACAUCAAACUUCUCAAUUGCUCUUUACAUUUAUUCUGUGCUGUCAUUAAGUUCUGCCUGCAGUUUUGUAUAUCAUCACCCAAAUCUUAUAUGUGCAAUUUGUAAUUACAAUGUUUGAGGAUUAUAAUCAGUUUUCUGAUGUGACACAUUUCAUUUUCAAAACUGUAAAAACUGAAGGUGGUAAUAACAUCUGAGUUGUCUUAUGCUGGAAGCAUAUAUGAAGGAGUCCAAAGAAGAAAUAUGUAUGCAUUUUUUUUUUUUUUUUAUAAACUCCCUGGUAUUUUUAAAUGUGUGAUUAGUUUUUAUUUCAUAAUUCCAGAAUUUUAUAAUGUCAACCUACCUUUCAAUGAAAAAUAAUUUAAAAUUACUGAAAAUAAAAAU